GUUAAAUUAAGGUUUAAUUUCACUUGUGUUUUCAAUUCACAAUUGAAAAACACAAGUGAAAUUAAACCUUAAUUUUAC